UACGUAGGGGGCAAGCGUUGUUCGGAAUUACUGGGCGUAAAGCGUGCGCAGGCUGUUUUGUAAGUCAGAUGUGAAAUCCCUGAGCUCAACUUAGGAACUGCGUUUGAAACUACAAGACUAGAAUAUGUCAGAGGGGGGUAGAAUUCCACGUGUAGCAGUGAAAUGCGUAGAGAUGUGGAGGAAUACCAAUGGCGAAGGCAGCCCCCUGGGAUAAUAUUGACGCUCAUGCACGAAAGCGUGGGGAGCAAACAGG
rnacentral:rRNA from 1 species